GCCUAAUAGUAACACAGCAAUAAAAUACUAAUUGCCCGCCAAACCACUACGAGUGAAAACUUAAAACUUAAAAGACUUGACGGUACUUCAAACCCAGCCUAGAGGAGCCUGUCUAAUAACCGAUAACCCACGUUUAACCCUACCCGCUUUAGCCAACCAGUCUAUAUACCGCCGUCGCCAGCCCACCUUAUGAAAGAACCACAGUGCACCUAAUAGUCUAACACUAAUACGACAGGUCGAGGUGUAACUUAUAGGCGGGGGCAGAUGGGCUACAUUUUCUUCAAUAGAAUAAACGAACAGGGGUAUGAAAUCACCCCCCAAAGGCGGAUUUAGUAGUAAGCUGCAGCGCACAUUACCCAGCUGAAACUAAUGCAAUGAAGUGCGUACACACCGCCCGUCAUCCCUGCAAAACAAACUAACCAUAAAUAAACCCACUUUACCCACCCAAACAGGGCAAGUCGUAACAUGGUAAGCGUACUGGAAAGUGCGCUUAGAAA
rnacentral:rRNA from 1 species